rnacentral:lncRNA from 1 species
CAUGUUCUAGUUGUUUCUAUAUAUGUAGACUAUAAAUAUUUUUAUAUCUUAUCUUGAGAAUUUGCAGAGGCAUAGUAAUGUCUAUAUGCAUGAGUGUUUUUUAUAAGAAAUCUUUUUGACCCUUUUUGAAUUUUUGAAAUUAAGAGAGCAUUUGAGCUUGGUAAUCCAUUUGUUUGAUGCACUAAUACGGUAAUAAGAGAUAAUUACAUAGAGCCACAACUUGGGUACACAGUUUUCCAUAAUUAUUGGACAUAUGAACGUAGACCCUAACUAUGAGCCAAUUAUUCCCCGAAAAAAAAACUAUGGGCAAAUUAUUAACAGAGUAGCCUAACCCAUAUUUUUGCCCAGGAGCGGAGCCCAAUGGGCCGGCCAUCAGAUUUCCUAAUAAUACAUCAGGUAAGGCCCAACAUUGUGCAUGAUCGUGAUCAUGGGCUACUUCAGCCCCCCAUGGCACAGUGGUGCAGGUAACUCUAAAUUUAUUUCUAGAUAGACGCCAAUUCAGACCUAUUGGGCCCUGGCUUCAAGUGGCUGUCCCGUUGAAGUGUUGAACCCUUUGAUCCGUAGCAGGCCAAACGAGAUAGGGCCGCCACUUCUUCGAAAAAAACAUAUCUGCCAAAAAAAAAAAGAUAGGGCCGCCGCUAGAUAGUGGCAUGAGUUGGAGUUGAAGGCUAUGCCCACCGACGGCCGGCCAUGGCCACCACGAAUUUGUGGUCGACGACGUGAUCG